rnacentral:rRNA from 1 species
AUUGAACGCUGGCGGCAUGCCUUACACAUGCAAGUCGAACGGUAACAGGUCUUCGGUUGCUGACGAGUGGCGAACGGGUGCGUAAUACAUCGGAACGUGCCCCGACGUGGGGGAUAACGAGGCGAAAGCUUUGCUAAUACCUCAUACGAUCUAAGGAUGAAAGCCGGGGACCGCAAGGCCUUGCGCGUUUGGAGCGGCCGAUGGCAGAUUAGGUAGUUGGUGGGAUAAAAGCUUACCAAGCCGACGAUCUGUAGCUGGUCUGAGAGGACGACCCGCCACACUGGGACUGAGACACGGCCCAGACUCCUACGGGAGGCAGCAGUGGGGAAUUUUGGACAAUGGGCGAAAGCCUGAUCCAGCAAUGCCGCGUGCAGGAUGAAGGCCUUCGGGUUGUAAAAUGCUUUUGUACGGAACGAAAAGGCUCUGGCUAAUACCUGGGGCACAUGACGGUACCGGAAGAAUAAGCACCGGCUAACUACGUG